rnacentral:rRNA from 1 species
GACGAACGCUGGCGGCGUGCUUAACACAUGCAAGUCGAACGGAAAGGCCCUGCUUUUGUGGGGUGCUCGAGUGGCGAACGGGUGAGUAACACGUGAGUAACCUGCCCUUGACUUUGGGAUAACUUCAGGAAACUGGGGCUAAUACCGGAUAGGAGCUCCUGCUGCAUGGUGGGGGUUGGAAAGUUUCGGCGGUUGGGGAUGGACUCGCGGCUUAUCAGCUUGUUGGUGGGGUAGUGGCUUACCAAGGCUUUGACGGGUAGCCGGCCUGAGAGGGUGACCGGCCACAGUGGGACUGAGAUACGGCCCAGACUCCUACGGGAGGCAGCAGUGGGGAAUAUUGCACAAUGGGCGGAAGCCUGAUGCAGCAACGCCGCGUGCGGGAUGACGGCCUUCGGGUUGUAAACCGCUUUCGCCUGUGACGAAGCGGGAGUGACGGUAAUGGGUAAAGAAGAAACGGCUAACUACGUG